GACAGAGGGGGCAAGCGUUGCUCGGAAUCACUGGGCGUAAAGGGCGCGUAGGCGGCCACCGCAAGUCGACUGUGAAAUCUCCGGGCUUAACCCGGAAAGGUCAGCCGAUACUGCGGGGCUAGAGUGCAGAAGGGGCAACUGGAAUUCUCGGUGUAGCGGUGAAAUGCGUAGAUAUCGAGAGGAACACCUGCGGCGAAGGCGGGUUGCUGGGCUGACACUGACGCUGAGGCGCGAAAGCCAGGGGAGCAAACGGG
rnacentral:rRNA from 1 species